rnacentral:rRNA from 1 species
GACGAACGCUGGCGGCGUGCCUAAUACAUGCAAGUAGAACGCUGAAGAGAGGAGCUUGCUCUUCUUGGAUGAGUUGCGAACGGGUGAGUAACGCGUAGGUAACCUGCCUUGUAGCGGGGGAUAACUAUUGGAAACGAUAGCUAAUACCGCAUAACAAUGGAUGACACAUGUCAUUUAUUUGAAAGGGGCAAUUGCUCCACUACAAGAUGGACCUGCGUUGUAUUAGCUAGUAGGUGAGGUAAUGGCUCACCUAGGCGACGAUACAUAGCCGACCUGAGGGGGAGAUCGGCCACACUGGGAAUGGGACACGGCCCAGGAUCCCACGGGGGGCAGCAGUAGGGGAACUUUGGCAAUGGGGGGAAAGCUGAACGAGGAACGCCGCGGGGGGGGAGAAGGGUUUCGGGUCGUAAAGCUCUGUUGUAAGUCAAGAAAGGGUGUGAGGGUGGAAAGUUCACGCUGUGACGGUAGCUGAACAGAAAGGGACGGCUAACUACGUG